rnacentral:lncRNA from 1 species
AAAUUUUCAUGAACUUGUAAAAUCAGGAUCAAAACUGUAUCAUAUGCCCUUAAACGACCAUCACAACUGCAGCCGUUCAUUAACAUAGUGUUUAAAGUUAAACGAGUAGCUUGGAUAUCAAAAUUCGUUAGUGUGUCAACAGAAAAAUACAGUCAUCCUUGCAAUAAUUGACACUGGUUGUCAAAGAAGUUAUCUAGAUAAUCAAUCAAUUGAUUGAUUGGUGUUUAACACUUCUUUCCACACUAUUCAAGGCGGUAUCUUUUCAUUGGUUGGGGAAGUCCAGUGAAAACCAUCGAUCUUCGGUAGGUUAGUGAUACAAUUGUUCGACUUCUACACCGAGACCCUAGAUGGAAUCAAAGUGCUUUGCAA